AUUGAACGCUGGCGGCAGGCUUAACACAUGCAAGUCGAGCGGAAACGGCAUAAUUGACGCCUUCGGGUUGAUUUUAUGGACGUCGAGCGGCGGACGGGUGAGUAAUGCCUGGGAAUCUGCCUGGUAGUGGGGGAUAACUUGCCGAAAGGUAAGCUAAUACCGCGUACGCCCUACGGGGGAAAGCAGGGGAUCUUCGGACCUUGCGCUAUCAGAUGAGCCCAGGCCGGAUUAGCUAGUUGGUGGGGUAAUGGCCUACCAAGGCGACGAUCCGUAGCUGGUCUGAGAGGAUGAUCAGCCACACCGGGACUGAGACACGGCCCGGACUCCUACGGGAGGCAGCAGUGGGGAAUAUUGGACAAUGGGGGGAACCUGAUCCAGCCAUGCCGCGUGUGUGAAGAAGGUCUUCGGAUUGUAAAGCACUUUAAGUUGUGAGGAAGGGCUCCGGGUUAAUACCCUGUGAGUUUUGACGUUAGCACAGAAUAAGCACCGGCUACUUCGUGCCAGCAGCCGCGGUAAUACGAAAGGUGCGAGCGUUAAUCGGAAUUACUGGGCGUAAAGCGCGCGUAAGUGG
rnacentral:rRNA from 1 species